ACGGGCCGUACGCCGAGUUCUGCCCUAGGCCCGUCGUCCCCUCCUAGCGAUCAGCAGGGCAGAAGCGGGGGAACCACGUUCCUCCGGACGGCCACCCGCGCACGGGCGGCCGUCCUCGGGGUGAAGUCGACCGCGCCGCAGAUGCGGUAAAGGCCGACCGGGCUUCCCGGCCCGAACCCGACAGCUAACCUCGCAGGCGUACGGGAAGGAUCGU
rnacentral:sRNA from 4 species